AUACUUACCUGGAUAGGGUCAAUAGGAGAUGAAGAAGACUCAUGGCCUAGGGCAGUGACCUUUAUUGCACUUGAGAGGGAUUGGGGAGUUGCGUUUGCACGAUCCCUACUAAUCUUAAUUUAUAAUAUUCAUACUAAUCUUCUUUAGUUGAAUG